GAUGAACGCUGGCGGCGUGCCUAAUACAUGCAAGUCGAGCGAACAGACGAGGAGCUUGCUCCUCUGACGUUAGCGGCGGACGGGUGAGUAACACGUGGAUAACCUACCUAUAAGAUUGGGAUAACUGCGGGAAACCGGAGCUAAUACCGGAUAAUAUAUUGAACCGCAUGGUUCAAUAGUGAAAGACGGUUUUGCUGUCACUUAUAGAUGGAUCCGCGCCGCAUUAGCUAGUUGGUAAGGUAACGGCUUACCAAGGCAACGAUGCGUAGCCGACCUGAGAGGGUGAUCGGCCACACUGGAACUGAGACACGGUCCAGACUCCUACGGGAGGCAGCAGUAGGGAAUCUUCCGCAAUGGGCGAAAGCCUGACGGAGCAACGCCGCGUGAGUGAUGAAGGUCUUCGGAUCGUAAAACUCUGUUAUUAGGGAAGAACAAAUGUGUAAGUAACCAUGCACGUCUUGACGGUACCUAAUCAGAAAGCCACGGCUAACUACGUG
rnacentral:rRNA from 1 species